GCCGAGAUAGCUCAGUUGGGAGAGCGUCAGGCUGAAGAUCUGAAGGUCCCUGGUUCAAUCCGGAGAGUUUGUA
rnacentral:tRNA from 1 species